rnacentral:rRNA from 1 species
UCGGGAAUUUUGGGCAAUGGGGGCAACCCUGAUCCAGCCAUGCCGCGUGAGUGAAGAAGGCCUUCGGGUUGUAAAGCUCUGUCGGGAGGGACGAAUAGGGUGGUGUAAUGGCCACUUCUGACGGUACCUCCAAAGGAAGCACCGGCUAACUCUGUGCCAGCAGCCGCGGUAAUACAGAGGGUGCAAGCGUUGUUCGGAAUUACUGGGCGUAAAGCGCGUGUAGGCGGCGUCGUGAGUCAUAUGUGAAAGCCCUCGGCUCAACCGAGGAAGUGCAUGUGAUACUGCGAUGCUUGAGUGUUGGAGGGGGUGGCGGAAUUCCCGGUGUAGAGGUGAAAUUCGUAGAUAUCGGGAGGAACACCUGUGGCGAAGGCGGCCACCUGGACAACAACUGACGCUGAGACGCGAAAGCGUGGGUAGCAAACAGGAUUAGAUACCCCCGUAGUCCCUGAG